rnacentral:rRNA from 1 species
CCUACGGGUGGCAGCAGUGAGGAAUAUUGGUCAAUGGGCGCGAGCCUGAACCAGCCAAGUAGCGUGAAGGAUGACUGCCCUACGGGUUGUAAACUUCUUUUAUAAAGGAAUAAAGUGAGGCACGGGUGCCUUUUUGUAUGUACUUUAUGAAUAAGGAUCGGCUAACUUCGUUCUGGCAGCCGCGGUAAUACGAAGGAUCCGAGGGUUAUCCGGAUUUAUUGGGUUUAAAGGGAGUGGUGAUGGGUUGGUAAGUUCGUUGGGAAAGUUUGGGGCUUAAACGUAAAAUUGCAAUUGAUACUGGCAGCCUUGAGUAAAGUUGAGGUAAGCGGAAUUCGAGGUGAAGCGGUGAAAUGCUUAGAUAUAACGAAGAACACCGAUUGCGAAGGCAGCUUACUAAGCUGCCACUGACAUUGAGGCUCGAAAGUGUGGGUAUCAAACAGGAUUAGAUACCCGAGUAGUC